rnacentral:lncRNA from 1 species
AAGAUGAUGUUGAAGGGAUUCCUGACGAGAUUUCCCGACUUCUUGAGCAAGAAAAGAAGAACACUCAGCUGCAUCUCAAGAAUCAGCAGAACAGCCAACUGGGGCAUUAUCAAAAAGAAGAAAAAAAAAGAAAAAAAGAGGAGGGUGCAAAAUCCAAGAAAAAAAUCAAAAGAAAUCAAAAGAAAUCAAAAGCAAAAUCAAAAGAAAACAAAAGAAAAAUAGCACCCUCAAAGUCCCAAGUUGGCUGAUGUUGAAUUCGAU